AUUGAACGCUGGCGGUAGGCCUAACACAUGCAAGUCGAACGAGUGGCGGACGGGUGAGUAAUGUCUGGGAAACUGCCCGAUGGCGGGGGAUAACUACUGGAAACGGUAGCUAAUACCGCAUACCAUCGGAUGUGCCCAGAUGGGAUUAGCUAGUGGGUGGGGUAAUGGCUCACCUAGGCGACGAUCCCUAGCUGGUCUGAGAGGAUGACGAGCCACACUGGAACUGAGACACGGUCCAGACUCCGACGGGAGGCAGCAGUGGGGAAUAUUGCAAAAUGGGCGCAAGCCUGAUGCAGCCAUGCCGCGUGUAUGAAGAAGGCAUUCGGGUUGUAAAGUACUUUCAGCGAGGAGGCGUUACUCGCAGAAGAAGCACCGGCUAACUCCGUGCCAGCAGCCGCGGUAAUAC
rnacentral:rRNA from 1 species